rnacentral:piRNA from 1 species
UGUGAGCUGGGAAGCCUUACUUAGCCA